UUACUUAGGCCCGGGAAGACAGCCUUACUGGAGCAACAAGUUUGUGCCCUAGCUUUAAGCCUCCACUCAAGUUACAAGAUUCCAGCUCCAGCCUAUAUCUCAAGCUCCAAGCCUCACCAACCCAGGAUUGAGGGCCCUACUUUAGAAGAAACCCAACUGGGCCUACUGCAAAUAGGGAUUCUGAACUACUAGUUGAUUCAGUUUAUAUUCUGCUGACCAAUCAUAAGCAGGGAGACAUUUUUUGAAACUUGCUUUUAACUCAGCCGUUCUUGCCUUGAUUUUUGUAAGCUAAUUUAGCCAUUUUAUGGAGAAUGCAGCAAAACAAGUUUUUCCCUAAAACCUUUUGUGCUCAGGUUUGUGGAACGAACUACCAUGGUAAGUUGCAGCCUGUGAUGGUACAGUGGCUGUUCUGCAAGAUGAAAAUCAAGGCUCUUGGAUUCUCCAUUGCCAAUCUCAUGUCAGCACAAGAAAAAUAACAGUUGCCUCUGGCACAUAACCCUCGUUCCCUAAUAAUGCAGUGGAUUCGUCACUUCCCGCAAAGCAAUCACACCUCAUUCUUUUGAAGCACUGAAGACUGAUCUCAUUUCUAAUUCUUCAUGGGUUUUAUGUAUUUUUUUCUUAUGGUCAUGCUCUAGCUUCAUUCUUCCUCAACAGCUCUCCAGAACUUGAUAGCUCUUAACCUACAUUGCAUUGUCAGGGAAGAAAAAUGCCCAGUUCACAGUUUAUCAUUUUUUUUUUUAAAGAAGCUUUCCGUUCUCGGAUUUAUCUGCAGUAUUAAACCUCUCUUUGUUUUAAUUAGUUCUGCCAAGUGAUUCAUGACAUUUCAUGACAAUAAUAGCAGCUCUUGGAUUUCCCCCCUUCUCUCUUUUAUUUAAUCAUUCUUUGGAGAAUUUUGGGCAGCAAUGCAUUGCAUAUAAAAAAAUCCUCAUCCAGUUUAAAGUUACAUUCCAUAUAAAUGUAGCGAUGAGUGAAUGUUCCUACUGCACUUUUUUAAAAUCAUGGCUAUUUUUUGACAGUGGUUUCUGCUUUUCCACAUUUGGUUUUCUAUGCUAUGGUUGAAACAUGCUGUACUUUUAUAUGCAAUUGGUAUAGUGCGAUUAAAUAAAAUUAGUUGGAUUGAACAGUAA